AGUGAACGCUGGCGGCAUGCCUAACACAUGCAAGUCGAACGGCAGCACAGUAAGAGUUUGCCUUUACGGGUGGCGAGUCGCAGACGUGUGUGGAAUACAUCGGAAUCUCCUUUUACGUGGGGGAUAACGUAGGAAAACUUACGCUAAUACCGCAUACGACCUACGGGUGAAAGCAGGUGAUUUUCAGAUCUUGCUCUUUUCACUGAGCCGAUGUCGUAUUAGCUAGUUGGCGGGGUAAAGGCCCACCAAGGCGACGAUCCGUAGCUGGUCUGAGAGGAUGAUCAGCCACACUGGAACUGAGACACGGUCCAGACUCCUACGGGAGGCAGCAGUGGGGAAUAUUGGACAAUGGGCGCAAGCCUGAUCCAGCCAUGCCGCGUGGGUGAAGAAGGCCUUCGGGUUGUAAAGCCCUUUUGUUAGGGAAGAAAAGAAGUGUGUUAAUACCACGCUGUUCUGACGGUACCUAAAGAAUAAGCAACGGCUAACUACGUG
rnacentral:rRNA from 1 species